GACGAACGCUGGCGGCGUGCCUAAUACAUGCAAGUUGAGCGCUGAAGGUUGGUACUUGUACCGUCUUGAUGAGCAGCACACGGGUGAGUCACGCGUGGGGCAUCUGCUUUUGAUCGGGGUACCUCCUUUGGACACGAAUGCUAAUACCGCAUAAAAUCUUUCAACACAAGUUUUAAGUUUGAAAGAUGCCAUUGCAUCACUCACAGAUGAUCUCGCGUUGUAUUAGCAAGUUGGUGAGGUAAAGGCUCACUAAGGCGAGGCUACAUAGCCGACCGGAGAGGGUGAGCGGCCAGACUGGGAGGGAGACACGGCCCAAACGGCUACGGGAGGCAGCAGUAGGGAAUCGUGGGGAAUGGACGAGAGUCUGACCGAGAAACGCCGCGGGAGGGAAGAGGGUUGUCGGAUCGGAAAACACUGUUGGUAGAGAAGAACGUGGGUGAGAGUGGAAAGCACAGCAAGUGACGGUAACUACUCAGAAAGGGACGGCUAACUACGUG
rnacentral:rRNA from 1 species